GGUUGUAAAGUUCUUUUACGAGGGAUAAUUAUGAUAGUACUUCGUGAAUAAGUGACAGCAAACUAUGUGCCAGCAGCUGCGGUAAUACAUAGGUCGCGAGCAUUAUUCGGAUUUAUUGGGCGUAAAGCAAGCGCAGGCGGAUGUGUAAGUUCUGUGUUAAAUGCAGCUACUCAAUAGUUGUAUGCACCGAAUACUACAUGUCUAGAUUGUGGUAGGGAGUUUCGGAAUUAAGCAUGGAGCGGUGGAAUGUGUAGAUAUGCUUAAGAACACCAGAGGCGAAGGCGGAAACUUAGGCCAUAAAUGACGCUUAGGCUUGAAAGUGUGGGGAGCAAAUGGGAUUAGAUACCCCAGUAGUCCACACCGUAAACGAUGGGUAUUAGAUAUUAGGGCUUUAGCUUUAGUGUUGUAGCUUACGCGUUAAAUACCCCGCCUGGGUAGUACAUAUGCAAAUAUGAAACUCAAAGGAAUUGACGGGGACCUGAACAAGUGGUGGAGCAUGUUGCUUAAUUCGAUAAUACACGAAAAACCUUACCAAGGUUUGACAUCCCUCGCAAAGCUAUAGAAAUAUAGUAGAGGUUAUCGAGGUGACAGGUGGUGCAUGGCUGUCGUCAGCUCGUGUCUUGAGAUGUUUGGUUAAGUCCCGCAACGAGCGCAACCCCACUCUUUAGUUACUUGUCUAAAGAGACUGCACAGUAAUGUAGAGGAAGGAUGGGAUCACGUCAAGUCAUCAUGCCCCUUAUGCCUUGGGCUGCAAACGUGCUACAAUGGCGAACACAAUGUGUUGCAAACCAGCGAUGGUAAGCUAAUCACCAAAUUUCGUCUCA
rnacentral:rRNA from 1 species